ensembl:miRNA
AAGUCUGGAUGCUCAGCUGCUGGAAGCCCUUAAACAGUGGCUCUGUUUGUCCAGAUCAACU